GGGGGCACAAUGCGGUGCUAGACAUGCAGUCGAACGGAAAGGGCACCUUCGGGUGCACUCGAGUGGCGCACGGGUGAGUCCCGUGUGGGUAAUCUGCCCCCCGGUCUGGGACAACUUCGGGAAACUGGAGCUAAUACCGGAUGAGCCCACGAGCUCCUAGGAGCUCGCGGGAAAAGAUGGCCUCUUCUUGAAAGCUAUCGCCAGGGGAUGAGCCCGCGUCGCAUUAGCUUGUUGGUGGGGUAACGGCUCACCAAGGCGACGAUGCGUAGCUGGUCUGAGAGGAUGAUCAGCCACACUGGAACUGAGACACGGUCCAGACUCCUACGGGAGGCAGCAGUCGGGAAUUUUGGGCAAUGGGGGCAACCCUGACCCAGCAACGCCGCGUGAGGGAUGAAGGCCCUCGGGUCGUAAACCUCUGUCGGGAGGGAAGAACGUCCUGCGAGUGAACAAUUCGCAGGGUUGACGGUACCUCCAAAGGAAGCACCGGCUAACUCCGUGCCAGCAGCCGCGGUAAUACGGAGGGUGCGAGCGUUGUUCGGAAUCAUUGGGCGUAAAGCGCGCGUAGGCGGCUUGGUAAGUCGGAUGUGAAAUCCCGGGGCCCAACCCCGGAACUGCAUUCGAAACUGCCUCGCUAGAGUCCCGGAGAGGAAGGCAGAAUUCCCGGUGUAGAGGUGAAAUUCGUAGAUAUCGGGAGGAAUACAGCGGCGAAGGCGGCCUUCUGGACGGUGACUGACGCUGAGGUGCGAAAGCGUGGGGAGCAAACAAGAUUAGAUACCCUGGUAGUCCACGCCGUAAACGUUGAGUGCUAGGUGUCGCGGGUAUUGACCCCUGCGGUGGCCUCGCUAACGCAUUUAGCACUCCGCCUGGGGGGUACCGGCGCAGAACUAAAAUUCAAAUGGAAUGACG
rnacentral:rRNA from 1 species